UCUGAAGAAACGUGACUUUAGUUUUUUAAA
rnacentral:piRNA from 1 species